GAUGAACGCUGGCGGCGUGCCUAAUACAUGCAAGUAGAACGCUGAAGGAAGGAGCUUGCUCUUUCCGGAUGAGUUGCGAACGGGUGAGUAACGCGUAGGUAACCUGCCUGGUAGCGGGGGAUAACUAUUGGAAACGAUAGCUAAUACCGCAUAACAGUAGAUGUUGCAUGAUAUCUACUUAAAAGUUGCAAUUGCACCACUACCAGAUGGACCUGCGUUGUAUUAGCUAGUUGGUGAGGUAACGGCUCACCAAGGCGACGAUACAUAGCCGACCUGAGAGGGUGAUCGGCCACACUGGGACUGAGACACGGCCCAGACUCCUACGGGAGGCAGCAGUAGGGAAUCUUCGGCAAUGGACGGAAGUCUGACCGAGCAACGCCGCGUGAGUGAAGAAGGUUUUCGGAUCGUAAAGCUCUGUUGUAAGAGAAGAACGAGUGUGAGAGUGGAAAGUUCACACUGUGACGGUAUCUUACCAGAAAGGGACGGCUAACUACGUG
rnacentral:rRNA from 1 species